GAUGAACGCUGGUGGCGUGCCUAACACAUGCAAGUCGAGCGAUUCUCUUCGGAGAAGAGCGGCGGACGGGUGAGUAACGCGUGGGUAACCUACCCUGUACACACGGAUAACAUACCGAAAGGUAUGCUAAUACGGGAUGAUAUAUAGAAAUCGCAUGAUUUUUAUAUCAAAGAUUUAUCGGUACAGGAUGGACCCGCGUCUGAUUAGCUUGUUGGCGGGGUAACGGCCCACCAAGGCGACGAUCAGUAGCCGACCUGAGAGGGUGAUCGGCCACAUUGGAACUGAGACACGGUCCAAACUCCUACGGGAGGCAGCAGUGGGGAAUAUUGCACAAUGGGCGCAAGCCUGAUGCAGCAACGCCGCGUGAGCGAUGAAGGCCUUCGGGUCGUAAAGCUCUGUCCUCAAGGAAGAUAAUGACG
rnacentral:rRNA from 1 species